CCAAAAGCUGGCGACCGGCGCACGGGUGAGUAACACGUAUCCAACCUGCCUCAUACUCGGGGAUAGCCAUUCGAAAGAAAGAUUAAUAUCCGAUAGCAUAUAUUUCCCGCAUGGGUUUUAUAUUAAAGAAAUUCGGUAUGAGAUGGGGAUGCGUUCCAUUAGUUUGUUGGGGGGUAACGGCCCACCAAGACUACGAUGGAUAGGGGUUCUGAGAGGAAGGUCCCCCACAUUGGAACUGAGACACGGUCCAA
rnacentral:rRNA from 1 species